rnacentral:tRNA from 1 species
ACCUGGCUGGCUCAGUCCCUAGAGCAUGGGACUCUUGAUCUCAGGGUGGUGAGUUCGAGCCCCACGUUGGGUG